ensembl:lncRNA
GCUGUUCGAAAAACGAGGAGGACAGAUAAGGCAAGCGUCUUGAGAGAACUUUGGCCCCCAUGACUCAAGAAGAUUACGUUGAUGCAGGGCGGGAAUGUGUUCUCAAGUGGCUGUGUGUGUACCUCAACGAAGACCCAGCAAAUCUUGUCAGGGAGUUCGUGGCGUGUGCGCGGGCAGAUUUGACCAGGCAUAUGGGGGCGUGGCAGGAGUGCCUCUACGUAGAUGAUUUCCCGGAAAUGUGAACAAGUGAAUCGCAAACGUUGUCCCGAGUGUUUAGCGCUCUGCACAGCCACCCCAGACGGUCAGCAGGGAAUACGUCGAAAUGCAUGCAGAAGACGAAGCCGCCAUCAAAGAAUCGAUUGAGGACACCACGGUGGGAAUAUUUGUCGUGAAAAAUGAUGCAACCAGUGGUCCAGAGGACGUGGGGAUUGUCCUGGAAGGCCUGCAGAUAAUGCAAGGACUGGACAACACUGCAUUAGCUGCUGCCAUAUUGUUUGGCCUAAUGUAUGUAUUGAACCUCAACUACCCUCCUGAGCUAAAGAACAUGUUUGAAGUGCGCCAAAAGUUGUGAUGGAGCUGGACGGCACCACGCUCUCAAAGAAAGCCCAAGUUCUCAAAAACAGACUGAGUGAGCUGUUGUCCUAACCCUGCUCAUUGACUUGAUUCUGGACUGUACACAUGCAACUUUGCGGUUCUUUGUUCUUGUUCUUGCAGUAUUUACAUACAGCAUGUCUACUGUAUUAUCAAAUGAAUGUUUUCUCUGGAGCUCAUGCGUUCCCAAAAUGUGACUCGGAUUUGCUGUUUUCUCUUAAAGUAAUAGAGCUGCUGAAUGAGCAGUUGCCAUGGACUAUGUUUGCUCUGUGAAUGCACUUGUCUUUUGACAUGCACUCAUGCAGCUUUAGUUUUUCCUUCAUUCUUUUGGCAGUACUUAGAUUCUUGGAAGAAUUACAUUUUUCGUAGUAUUAAUGAUGUUUGUCUAGGUCUACUCAUUGUUUGUUGUGCGGUGAUUCAUUCAAAACACUGGCAGUACUUUUUUUAUUUUAUUAUUUUAUUAGAAUUUUAUGCAAAGUAAAAAAAAAACAUAAUGCAACCUAACAUGUUUUGGGAUUUCAGUGUUAAAAAUGUCUAGUGUUUUCCAAAAAUGUCCAAACUAUUGCUAUUUGAAGGUGGAGUCAGCGAUUAAGGGGAAUUCUUGUUGUCAAAAUCAGUGAAUAUCUCAUGAUGCACUACCUGUCCGUACUUAUGUGCUAUAAAUCCUUUGUUAGUGCUCAGCCUCUGUAAACCAAGGACCUAUGGACAUGCAAUUUGUAGGCAGGACAAGCAUUCUCCAGAGUCAGCUCUAAGUUUUACAUGCCUAACACUGGCUGUGCUAUUUUAUUUUAUUUCAUUUUAAUCGACCAAAGUAAUGGGAUUUCAGUGUUAAAUGUUGUAUUGGGAUUUCAAGCUUUGGGAUUUCAGUGUUAAAUGUAGUAUUUGAAAGAAAUACAAUAGAAAGUUGGUUAUUUGUGCCUUAUUUAGUCUCAUACUUUUUCAACUUUUUUUUUACAUGUUUUGAAAGAUGAAUCACAUUAUUUUCUGUCCAUAUACUGUUAUAUUACAUCAAAUAUAAAUUAUUUUACAACCUUUUUCCAUUAAAAACCAGCUAAGAACAGCAAAUUUCUGUCCAUUUAAUCAGUAUUAUUCGUAAUACAACAUUUAUUUACCGUAUUUCUAGGUAAUUUCAUCGUUUUAAAAUGUGAAUGUUUCUAAUUAAACAUUAAAA